GACGAACGCUGGCGGCGUGCCUAAUACAUGCAAGUUGAGCGAUGAAGCUUGGUGCUUGCACCAAUUUGAAGAGCAGCGAACGGGUGAGUAACGCGUGGGGAAUCUGCCUUUGAGCGGGGGACAACAUUUGGAAACGAAUGCUAAUACCGCAUAACAACUUUAAACAUAAGUUUUAAGUUUGAAAGAUGCAAUUGCAUCACUCAAAGAUGAUCCCGCGUUGUAUUAGCUAGUUGGUGAGGUAAAGGCUCACCAAGGCGAUGAUACAUAGCCGACCUGAGAGGGUGAUCGGCCACAUUGGGACUGAGACACGGCCCAAACUCCUACGGGAGGCAGCAGUAGGGAAUCUUCGGCAAUGGACGAAAGUCUGACCGAGCAACGCCGCGUGAGUGAAGAAGGUUUUCGGAUCGAAAAACUCUGUUGGUAGAGAAGAACGUUGGUGAGAGUGGAAAGCUCAUCAAGUGACGGUAACUACCCAGAAAGGGACGGCUAACUACGUG
rnacentral:rRNA from 1 species